rnacentral:rRNA from 1 species
UCCGGUUGAUCCUGCCGGACCCGACUGCUAUCGGAUUGGGAUUUAGCCAUGUUAGUUGUGCGUCCUUGGCUACAGGGACGCAGCGUACGGCUCAGUAACACGUAGUCAACCUGCCCUGGAGACGCGGACAAACCCGGGAAACUGGGGCCUAUCCGCGAUAGAUGACCUCAUCUGGAAGGAGAGGUCGUCGAAAAGGGCGCACGGGUAAGCUCUGUGCGAACCGCUCCAGGAUGGGACUGCGGCCGAUCAGGCUGUUGGCGGGGUAAUGGCCCACCAAACCUGUAACCGGUACGGGCUUUGAGAGAAGGAGCCCGGAGAUGGACACUGAGACAAGGGUCCAGGUCCUACGGGGCGCAGCAGGCGCGAAACCUUCGCAAUGCGCGAAAGCGCGACGAGGUUAUUCCGAGUGAUUCCCGCUGAGGGAAUCUUUUCCCAGAUCUAAAACGUCUGGGGAAUAAGGGGAGGGCAAGUCUGGUGUCAGCCGCCGCGGUAAUACCAGCUCCUCGAGUGGUCAGGGCGUUUAUUGGGCCUAAAGCAUCCGUAGCCUGCUCAGUAGGUCUCCUGUUAAAUCCAACGGCUCAACCGUUGGUCUGCAGGAGAUACCGCUAGGCUAGGAGGCGGGAGAGGCGGACGGUACUCCGAGGGUAGGGGUAAAAUCCUUUGAUCCCCGGAAGACCACCAGUGGCGAAGGCGGUCCGCCAGAACGCGCUCGACGGUGAGGGAUGAAGCUGGGGGAGCGAACCGGAUUAGAUACCCGGGUAGUCCCAGCUGUAAACGAUGCGAGCUAGGUGACACGACGCCUUCGGGGCAUCGUGGUGCCGCAGGAAAGCCGUUAAGCUCGCCGCCUGGGGAGUACGGACGCAAGUCUGAAACUUAAAGGAAUUGGCGGGGGAGCACCACAAGGGGUGAAGCCUGCGGUUCAAUUGGACUCAACGCCGGG